rnacentral:rRNA from 1 species
GACGAACGCUGGCGGCGUGCUUAACACAUGCAAGUCGAGCGGUAAGGCUCCUUCGGGAGUACACGAGCGGCGAACGGGUGAGUAACACGUGCGUAACCUGCCCCAUUCAUCGGAAUAACCAGUGGAAACGCUGGCUAAUGCCGAAUACGACCACCGAAGGCAUCUUCUGGUGGUGGAAAGCUCCGGCGGAGUGGGAUGGACUCGCGGCCUAUCAGCUUGUUGGUGAGGUAACGGCUCACCAAGGCGACGACGGGUAGCCGGCCUGAGAGGGUGACCGGCCACACUGGGACUGAGAGACGGCCCAGACUCCUACGGGAGGCAGCAGUGGGGAAUAUUGGACAAUGGGCGAAAGCCUGAUCCAGCAACGCCGCGUGAGGGAUGACGGCCUUCGGGUUGUAAACCUCUUUCAGCAGGGACGAAGCGAAAGUGACGGUACCUGCAGAAGAAGGACCGGCCAACUACGUG